rnacentral:tRNA from 1 species
GCGGGUGUAGUUUAGUGGUAGAAUACCUGCCUUCCAAGCAGGGGACGAGAGUUCGAUUCUCUCCACCCGCA